rnacentral:rRNA from 1 species
UCGGGAAUUUUGGGCAAUGGGCGAAAGCCUGACCCAGCAACGCCGCGUGAAGGAUGAAGUAUUUCGGUAUGUAAACUUCGAAAGAAUAGGAAGAAUAAAUGACGGUACUAUUUAUAAGGUCCGGCUAACUACGUGCCAGCAGCCGCGGUAAUACGUAGGGACCAAGCGUUGUUCGGAUUUACUGGGCGUAAAGGGCGCGUAGGCGGCUUGACAAGUCACUUGUGAAAUCUCUGGGCUUAACCCAGAACGGCCAAGUGAAACUGUCAUGCUAGAGUGCAGAAGGGGCAAUCGGAAUUCUUGGUGUAGCGGUGAAAUGCGUAGAUAUCAAGAGGAACACCUGAGGUGAAGACGGGUUGCUGGGCUGACACUGACG